rnacentral:rRNA from 1 species
UACGUAGGGAGCAAGCGUUGUCCGGAAUCAUUGGGCGUAAAGCGCGCGUAGGCGGCCUCGUAAGUCCGUUGUGAAAGUCAAAGGCUCAACCUUUGAAAGCCGAUGGAUACUGUGAGGCUAGAGUCCGGAAGAGGCGAGUGGAAUUCCUGGUGUAGCGGUGGAAUGCGCAGAUAUCAGGAGGAACACCAAUAGCGAAGGCAGCUCGCUGGGACGGUAAGCUGAC